rnacentral:misc_RNA from 1 species
AAGUCGUAACAAGGUUUCCGUAGGUGAACCUGCGGAAGGAUCAUUACAGUGUUAGGCUUCGGCCUCAUGCACACUCCCUUGUUUAACCUCCGGUUUCUUUGGCGAUGUCAUGGACUCGUCAAACGUUAACUCUGGUAAUGUGAUACCGUCCGAGUGCGAUUGAAUUAUCAAAACUUUCAACAACGGAUCUCUUGGUUCCA